AGAAAUUUAUUCUCAAUUUUCUGAUAGAAGGAAGAAUUAACAAAAGUGCACUGAUUGGAAUAAUGUUAGGGAGUUAUUAGAUUACUAGAAUGAGGUACAUGUAAUUACAGAUAUCCGAAGAUUCGAGAUAUCAGGGGAAAAAAUACUUAAAGAAUAAGUGGUCGGGACUUCUAAAUCAGUUUGACAUAUCCAUGGUUUUCGAAAUAUCAGUGUUCGAGAUAUCGAAGUUCAACUGUAUAUAAGAAAGACAUGCUCUGAAAUACCUUAAUCUUACUAAUGCAUCUGAUUUUCAGUUGAAAUAUGGAUACAAAUGCCAAUGAAGCCUAAGGAGGAGGAGUGGGGGACCAUGUGGUGUUCUCUUAGUGUGAGGAAAAAAGAGCCAAAUACUUCAACAAAUCUACUGGUGGACAAUCAGGUUAAGGAAAUCUGCUCUGCUGGGGAACAACUAGGUCAAGAGAAUCAGGUGGACUACAAUCAGGUCAAAGACAUGGAUAACCAGGUCUACUGGUAAUCUACUGAAGGACAACCAUGUAAAGAAAAUCUACUUGGGAACAAUAAGUCCAGGUCAUGGACGUUACCUGGGAAAACCAGAUAGGAAUCUUAAAUAAUUACAACUAGCCAGUACUGUAUCACAAUAGCGUUGAAACGAUAUUAAAGAUAAUUACGUGACUGAUUAAUGCUUUUCCUCCUCUUCAAUGUUUGUUUUAUACACAUGUAUAUUUUCAUUCUUAAAAUAAAUGACAUUCAGUUGUAGUUUAGGUUCUUCAAUUCAACGUGUACAAAUCAGAAACGUACCAUAGAGAACCAACAUUCUCUGUAUUUCCUUUAAAAUGCUUCCAAUGUUAGAUUUGAGGAAUCUUACAACUUGAAGCUCACAUAUAUGAUUUUUAAUCUUUAUGUAAAUCAACAAUUUUGCUAGUAAAUCAAAGAGUCAUGA